CAAGUAGCGGAGCAUGUGGUUUAAUUCGAAGCAACGCGAAGAACCUUACCUAAGCUUGACAUCCUUUUGACCGAUGCCUAAUCGCAUCUUUCCCUUCGGGGACAGAAGUGACAGGUGGUGCAUGGUUGUCGUCAGCUCGUGUCGUGAGAUGUUGGGUUAAGUCCCGCAACGAGCGCAACCCUUGCCUUUAGUUGCCAGCAUUAAGUUGGGCACUCUAGAGGGACUGCCAGGGAUAACCUGGAGGAAGGUGGGGAUGACGUCAAAUCAUCAUGCCCCUUAUGCUUAGGGCUACACACGUGCUACAAUGGGUGGUACAGAGGGCAGCCAAGUCGUGAGGCGGAGCUAAUCCCUUAAAGCCAUUCUCAGUUCGGAUUGUAGGCUGAAACUCGCCUACAUGAAGCUGGAGUUACUAGUAAUCGCAGAUCAGAAUGCUGCGGUGAAUGCGUUCCCGGGUCUUGUACACACC
rnacentral:rRNA from 1 species